rnacentral:rRNA from 1 species
UACGUAGGCAGCAAGCGUUGUUCGGAAUUACUGGGCGUAAAGAGUGUGUAGGCGGUGCUCUAAAGUUCGGUGUGAAAUCUCCCGGCUUAACUGGGAGGGUGCGCCGGAAACUGGAGUGCUCGAGCGUGGGAGAGGAAAGCGGAAGUUCCUGGUGUAGCGGUGAAAUGCGUAGAUAUCGGCAGGAACACCCGUGGCCGAAAGCGGCCACCUACGCCCGCACCUGACGCUGAUGCGCGACAGCCGUGGGGAGCGAACGUG